rnacentral:rRNA from 1 species
GUAGGGAAGAAAGCGAAAAGUGACGGUACCUGCAGAAAAAAGCACCGGGCAAAUUACGUGCCAGCAGCCGCGGUAAUACGUAGGGUGCAAGCGUUGUCCGGAAUUAUUGGGCGUAAAGAGCUCGUAGGCGGUUUGUCGCGUCUGCUGUGAAAUCCCGAGGCUCAACCUCGGGCUUGCAGUGGGUACGGGCAGACUAGAGUGCGGUAGGGGAGAUUGGAAUUCCUGGUGUAGCGGUGGAAUGCGCAGAUAUCAGGAGGAACACCGAUGGCGAAGGCAGAUCUCUGGGCCGUAACUGACGCUGAGGAGCGAAAGCGUGGGGAGCGAACAGGAUUAGAUACCCUGGUAGUCCACGCCGUAAACGUUGGGCGCUAGAUGUAGGGACCUUUCCACGGUUUCUGUGUCGUAGCUAACGCAUUAAGCGCCCCGCCUGGGGAGUACGGCCGCAAGGCUAAAACUCAAAGGAAUUGACGGGGGCCCGCACAAGCGGCGGAGCAUGCGGAUUAAUUCGAUGCAACGCGAAGAACCUUACCAAGGCUUGACAUACACCGGAAACGGCCAGAGAUGGUCGCCCCCUUGUGGUCGGUGUACAGGUGGUGCAUGGUUGUCGUCAGCUCGUGUCGUGAGAUGUUGGGUUAAGUCCCGCAACGAGCGCAACCCUCGUUCUAUGUUGCCAGCGCGUUAUGGCGGGGACUCAUAGGAGACUGCCGGGGUCAACUCGGAGGAAGGUGGGGAUGACGUCAAAUCAUCAUGCCCCUUAUGUCUUGGGCUUCACGCAUGCUACAAUGGCCGGUACAAAGGGCUGCGAUACCGUAAGGUGGAGCGAAUCCCAAAAAGACCGGUCUCAGUUCGGAUUGAGGUCUGCAACUCGACCUCAUGAAGUCGGAGUCGCUAGUAAUCGCAGAUCAGCAACGCUGCGGUGAAUACGUUCCCGGGCCUUGUACACACCGCCCGUCAAGUCAUGAAAGUCGGUAACACCCGAAGCCGGUGGCCUAA